rnacentral:lncRNA from 1 species
AAUUUGAAGCUAGAAAAACAGAAUUUAAAAGAAAAAUAAAAACAAGUGAAUAGUCUCCGUUAGGUUGAAUCCUGGAUACAAUUUCUUAUUAAACAAAACCCAUUAGUUUGAUUUAAUUUUUAAGGACUUCUAAUAGCAAGUUGUACCUUCACCUGAAUUUAAAUGGAAAGGGGGGAUCGGAGCUCUUCUCGGCAUUCAAGUUUCCCUCUCUCUCAACUUUAAACCUUUUCUAAAUCUAUGUGUAAACACAUGCAUGGUGUGAAUGAGGAAUUAAAUCAAAAUAGCAAAGGAAGGAGAAGUGAAAAGCUCAAUGGCAACCUGGCACCUCGGUUCUCCACUAAAGUCGAUCGUUUUUCUCUCUUCUCCGUCAUGCUUCUACUCGAUAGGGGGUAGAGGGCCACUCUAUUCAUACUCGCCCCUAAAUUUCAUAGCCGUCCAAUCUUUGCGUGCG